GAUCAAAUUAAAUUUAAAUUGCAUGCUAUCAUUUAUUCUUCUAUAACAUGGAGAAAGUGUAUUUCACAGGGCUGUUAGUCCUUAUUAAAACCGGCUAGGCAAAAAUGAAACCUCACUCCUUCACUCUGCCACCUGUCAUCUUUCCCCCACACAUACGUAUCUAUUUAGCCUAAAUCUAAGGUGGUUUUAAAAGCCAGUCACUACUUUCUUGAACAAAGUGUUUAAAAUCAUGGGUUGCAAUAAAAGAUAAUAAA